GAUAAUUAUUCCUAUAAGUUUGUCCUUUAUCUAUGUGCAAUGAAUAAUUGCGCUAUCAGGUGCAGUGGACACUUAUGAGAUCCGGACCAAUCCGGACAAGAGAAAUACGGGGUUAUGGUGCCACUUUCAUGGCACGCACGAGCAUGCUAUGGAAGAUUGUGCGAACCGGAGGAUUGAGGUAGCCCAGCUGCUGCGAGCGAGGCACUUAAAAGAAUACAUCAGCGAUCGAGCGAAGAUCACCCUAAACCGAGUUCCCGGACAAAAGCCAGACAAGAUGUCGUAACCUAGUCACACCAUCAACAUUAUUUUCGAAGGCGAGAUGGUGAACAAAAUUACGUAUACGUCACUAAGAAAGGCCAAAAUUUCUGUCAUAAUGACUAGCCGUGCCUGGGAACCUCCUUAGAGUAGCACCAUCUCUUUCUCCGACAGUGACUACUUAGGACUUGCCCCUUUACCUAAUGACGCCCUAGUAAUAUCUAUUCAAAUUGCUAAUUCUUUAAUUAAACGCGCACUCAUUGAUCCAGGGAGUUCGGCGAAUAUAAUUUAGCUGCGAGCCCUGAAGGACAUAAGAGUAGAGGAAUCGAUCAUCUCGACAACUAAAGUGCUAGCAGAAUUCAACAUGUCAAGUGAACUGACCCGGGGAGAAAUUGAGAUACCGGUCAAGCUAAUAGCACAAAAUAGGACACGAUCUUUGAUGUCAGGUUCGGUGACAUGUCUUACAAAGUAAUACUGAGAAGACUGUGGAUUCAUUCAACGCGGGCAUUUCCCUCCACUUUCCAUCAAAAAAUUAAAUUCUCUACUUCUUGAGGAGUCGGGGAGAUCAGAGGGGACUAAGGCGCUACCCGGGAAAUGGAAGCUGCGGCAAUAACGACGGGGGGAACGAAUCUGACAAAUAGCAACCAAAGAUACCGGGACCAGAAGCCGAGGCCGGAGGAACGGCGGGGUGACACGCAAGGGUGGAGACAAUAGAAGAAAGCUACCAGGAUCAGACCAUCCCAAAAGGGUUCGUUAUUCCUGUAGAUAAAGACCCCGCAGACUCAAUCGUAAAAGUAUUGAAACGCGUGGAGCUUUUCGAAAAACAUCCCAAAAAGAAGGAAUUCCUCCAGAAAUAGCCAUACACCCGCUAUGCUCGGAUCCCAAUCACCCCCUAUAAGACAGUGGAAGCGACCGAUCUCCGCCAUCCGGGACUAGUUCGUCAAGGAAGAGGUGACGUGGUUGCUCAACAUUGGAUCGGUCCAGAGAGUGGAGAAUCCGGAUUGGCUGACAAACGUGGUAUUGGAUAGAUUUGGAUUCUGCAAACAAAUUGCCUUAUGCAAGAGAUAGAUUGGUGGAGUAUUACUUUUGGAUAAUGUGUAUUUUGAGCCUAAGUAUAAUCGCGCAAGAAAAAUGCUGACAAAAGUAGUCAACAUGACCUCCAUCAUUGAUGACACCUAUGAUGCUAGAGGAGAAAUUCGAAUGGAUAUCUUUCAUUUUUCUUCUUUCAGAAUGAAGUAUCUCAAAAACAAUUUCUUCUUGAAAAGAAAGAUGGAGCUAGCAUAGGUACCUUUUUUAUGUUCCUUGACUGAUUAUAAGUAUAGGAGAGGGGAAUACAAAUUUUUAUUUGUACUCUUCAUCAUCUUACCAUCCGUAAAAGAAUUGCCUUUUGGGUAAUUCAAUAAAUGUAUGGGAGGUAAGGUGAAGUCCCCCUCCUAUGUACAAAUUAUUGAUGAUACAUGGAACUGUGCAGUUCAAUUAAAAAAAAAAAAAAACUACAACAACUCUGUAGCUUGAGGGAUGUGUUCUACGAUGAGUCCAUGAGGAAAGUUUUUU